rnacentral:rRNA from 1 species
ACGGCGAGUGAAGCGGCAACAGCUCAAAUUUGAAAUCUGGCUCUUUCAGGGUCCGAGUUGUAAUUUGUAGAGGAUGCUUCGGGUACGGGUCCGGUCUAAGUUCCUUGGAACAGGACGUCGCAGAGGGUGAGAAUCCCGUAUGUGAUCGGUCCCCACACCCGUGUGAAGCUCCUUCGACGAGUCGAGUUGUUUGGGAAUGCAGCUCAAAAUGGGUGGUAUAUUUCAUCUAAAGCUAAAUAUUGGCCAGAGACCGAUAGCGCACAAGUAGAGUGAUCGAAAGAUGAAAAGCACUUUGGAAAGAGAGUCAAACAGUACGUGAAAUUGUUGAAAGGGAAGCGCUUGCAACCAGACUUGCUCGUGGGUGAUCAACCGGUAGUCUUACCGGUGCACUCGCCCGCGAUCAGGCCAGCAUCGGUUUGGGCGGUUGAAUAAAGUCCCCCGGAAAGUAGCUCCUUUUGGGGAGUGUUAUAGCCGGAGGUGCAAUGCAGCCCGCCCGGACCGAGGACCGCGCUUCGGCUAGGAUGCUGGCGUAAUGGUUGUAAGCGACCCGUCUUGAAACACGGACCAAGGAGUCUAACAUCUAUGCGAGUGUUUGGGUGUCAAACCCAUGCGCGUAAUGAAAGUGAACGGAGGUGGGAACCCUGAAGGGUGCACCAUCGACCGAUCCUGAUGUCUUCGGAUGGAUUUGAGUAAGAGCAUAGCUGUUGGGACCCGAAAGAUGGUGAACUAUGCCUGAAUAGGGUGAAGCCAGAGGAAACUCUGGUGGAGGCUCGCAGCGGUUCUGACGUGCAAAUCGAUCGUCAAAUUUGGGUAUAG